UACGUAGGGGGCAAGCGUUAUCCGGAUUUACUGGGUGUAAAGGGAGCGUAGGCGGUUUAGCAAGUCAGAAGUGAAAGCCCGGGGCUCAACCCCGGCGAGCCGUUGAAACUGGCGGGCUGGAGUUGGAGAGAAGUACGCGGAAUGCGCGGUGUAGCGGUGAAAUGCUUAGAUAUCGCGCAGAACCCCGAUUGCGAAGGCAGCAUACCGGCGCCCGACUGACGCUGAAGCACGAAAGCGUGGGUAUCGAACAGG
rnacentral:rRNA from 1 species